GUGAGCAAAGUCUCAGGUGUUGU
rnacentral:miRNA from 1 species